UUUGGCACACAAAUUCUAUAUAUUUUAUGAAAAAUUUCGCUAAAAACAGAAAAAAUCGUGCUGAAAGUUUAAGCGCACCCUAGAACUGUAAUGCGAACGUGGCCCAAUUUGAGUUAUGUCCAGAUUUGACAGAUCAACAGCGAGGUGAGUAUUUUGACAAUUCUACGAAAAUGUAAACAAACCAAAAUUCAGUAUCAAUAAAGCAAAUGAAGAUAAAGAAGAAACCAAGGAUUACGUUGCAACAAGAAAAGUGGAAGUGGAAGCCCCGCGUAGGAAGCCAGCAACGCCGACAUAUUUAUUGUGGAGUGAAUAGGUACAAAUUGAAGUAAAAAAUUACACUUCUCAACAAGACUGGCAAUCAAAUCGCUCUAUUCUUAUGGCUUAUAUCCUCAUGUUUAACCCUGUAGGAAAGAGAAGGGCCGAUUACAGCGAAGGGAUCGAUGUCGCAGAAGUCGGAAAAAAUUCGCUUUGCAAUCUGACAUGCUUCAUUUGACGAGAUGGAUACAAGUCCAGAGUUAUUAUAAAGUUGAGGAAUCUCUUUACUUGGUGGUCAUUCAUAGCCAAUCCAAAUACAAAUACAAGUUAAAUUAAUAGCAGUAGCACAUUCAUGUAAUGUGCCACCAUCAUUUCAAUGCAAAACACUCA